rnacentral:rRNA from 1 species
UACAGAGGGUGCAAGCGUUAAUCGGAAUUACUGGGCGUAAAGCGUGCGUAGACGGUUACGUAAGUCAGAUGUGAAAGCCCCGGGCUCAACCUGGGAAUUGCAUUUGAGACUGCGUAGCUAGGGUGCGGAAGAGGGAAGCGGAAUUUCCGGUGUAGCGGUGAAAUGCGUAGAUAUCGGAAGGAACACCAGUGGCGAAAGCGGCUUCCUGGUCCAGCACCGACGUUCAGGCACGAAAGCGUGGGGAGCAAACAGG